GGCAGAGGGUGCAAACGUUGUUCGGAAUUACUGGGCGUAAAGCGCGUGUAGGCGGCAAGCCAAGUCGGGUGUGAAAGCCCUGGGCUCAACCCAGGAAGUGCAUUCGAUACUGGCAAGCUAGAGUCCCGGAGAGGAUGGUGGAACUCUCGGUGUAGAGGUGAAAUUCGUAGAUAUCGAGAAGAACACCGGUGGCGAAGGCGGCCAUCUGGACGGUGACUGACGCUGAGACGCGAAAGCGUGGGGAGCAAACAGG
rnacentral:rRNA from 1 species